rnacentral:sRNA from 1 species
GCUGGGUGUGGUGCCGCACGCCUGUGAUCCCAGCAGCUCGGGAGGCUGAGGCAGGAGGAUCGUGGGUUCAAAGCCAGCCUCAGCAAAAAGGAGGCACUAAGCAACUCAGUGAGACCCUGUCUCUA